rfam:Ictidomys tridecemlineatus contig110404, whole genome shotgun sequence.
GGGGUUGUGGCUCAGUGGUAGAGUGCUCGCCUAGCACAUGUGAGGCCCUGGGUUCAAUCCUCAGCACCA